UCAAGGGGAAAAUAAAAAGUGAAGCCAAUGUGUGGCCCUCAAACAACAGCCAUGUAUUCCAUCCUGUUCCUUUUUAGUCAGCAUAUAUGUUUUGUCUGAAGUGAAAAUAUUUCUAAUUUAAAAAAUAUAUAAAAAACUACCAUUCAUAAUACAAAAUAAAUAUUAUUAGAUUCGUCAUGGAAUAUAGUUUCAUAUUAUAUGUAUUGGAAAUAAAUUUGGUCAAACUUAAAAAGUUUGACUUGAUACAAACUUGAGUAAAAAGAACAGAAGGGAGUAGAUUCAAAUAAGUCAAGAAACUAAGUAGUAGUACGUGCUUGCAAGAAAAAGAAAAACGGACUACAAUUGCUUCGGCGUGCAAAAAUCUCUUGCUAUAGAAACCGACGGGCGGGUAGUGCUAGCGAAUGCUUGCCAAUUGCCAAGGGAGUAGAGCUAUCGACGACGUCGUUUUGCGGCCAGCGGCGACGAAAGCAUGUGUCCUCUCAAGUCACAGGGUCAUUAAGGGCGUGUUUGCAUGUCCUCCCGCUCCACGCUUCACAAAAAGCUAGAGCGAAGCUAAGCCGAACGAAAAAUCUCGAAGAAGCUAGCUUCGAGAAGCACAGCCGGAGUCCAAUGUAAAAACACGAAGCACCAAAAUCACAGCUCCAGGAAAACGAGAAGUGAGGAGUUCGACAUAAUUACAAGGAGAUGCCACCACCAAGUCGAAAAAACAAUUCGCACGGCUCAGCUCCGACGCCUGUUCCCCUCUCUCCCUCGACAUCUCUUCUGCUCGUGACCUACCCAGCGCCGCCGGUUGCCGCCGCCACGCCCGAUUCCACCCCUUCGCCGGCCGGCGAGCCUCUCCGCCAGUAGAUCCAACCAUUCCAGCCCCGUUCUUGCCGGAUCCCGUCCCGAACGAGCACUUUCCAGCGCCGCCAGCCAGGAGCAGCAACCCCACCGGCAGGAGACGCCCACCUUGACGCCAUUGAUGCCGGUGCUCACCAUGUCAUCCUUUGAGCCAGCCUCCUCGCCCUCGCCCCAACCCAAGCGUAGCGCGAGGACGAAGGCAGGGACAUCAUGAGAAGCGCCAUCAAUGAGCGUCGGCCACGGCAAUACAAAGACUUGUAUGAGUGGGAGCCGACAAUAGCUGACGGUAAUGAGUAAUAAACUUACAUUUCCGCUUCGGUAUGACCCCCUUAAACACAUCAAAGGCUUCGAUUAUUUCAUACCCUAUCAUAACAAAGGGUGCGAUGGUCUUUUCUUAAUGUUUUUUUACAAUAGCUGAUGGUAUUGAGUAAUAAACUUACACUUCCGCUUC